rnacentral:rRNA from 1 species
GAGUUUGAUCCUGGCUCAGAAUGAAUGUUGGCGGCGUGCCUAACACAUGCAAGUCGAGCGAGAAAGUCACUUCGGUGGCGAGUAGAGCGGCGAACGGGUGAGUAAUACAUGAGAAUCUGCCUUUUAGUGAGGGAUACCUUCGGGAAACUGAAGUUAAUACCGCAUACGUCCCUUCGGGGAGAAAGAUGGCCUCUUGCUGUCGCUAGAAGAUGAGCUCAUGCUCUAUUAGUUUGUUGGUGAGGUAAAGGCUCACCAAGACGAUGAUGGAUAGCCGGCCUGAGAGGGUGAACGGCCACAUUGGAACUUAGACACGGUCCAGACUCCUACGGGAGGCAGCAGUGAGGAAUAUUGCACAAUGGGCGAAAGCCUGAUGCAGCGACGCCGCGUGGAGGAUGAAGGUUUUCGGAUCGUAAACUCCUGUUAAGUGGGAAAAAAGAACUGUCCUGAAUAGGGAUGGAAGAUGAUGGUACCACUAAAGAAAGCACCGGCUAACUUCGUGCCAGCAGCCGCGGUAAUACGAGGGGUGCGAACAUUAUUCGGAAUCACUGGGCGUAAAGGGUGCGUAGGCGGGAAAAUAAGUCAAUUAUUAAAUCUCUCAGCUUAACUGGGAACCUGUAGUUGAAACUGUUUUUCUUGAGGAUGGAAGAGAGAAGUGGAAUUCUCGAAGUAGCGGUAAAAUGCGUAGAUCUCGAGAGGAACACCGAUGGCGAAGGCAGCUUCUUGGUCCAUUUCUGACGUUGAGGCACGAAAGCGUGGGGAGCAAACAGGAUUAGAUACCCUG